UACGUAGGGUGCAAGCGUUGUCCGGAAUCAUUGGGCGUAAAGCGCGCGUAGGUGGUCCUGUAAGUCCGCUGUGAAAGUCAAAGGCUCAACCUUUGAAAGCCGGUGGAUACUGCGGGACUAGAGUACGGAAGAGGCGAGUGGAAUUCCUGGUGUAGCGGUGGAAUGCGCAGAUAUCAGGAGGAACACCAAUGGCGAAGGCAGCUCGCUGGGACGUUACUGACACUGAGGCGCGAAAGCGUGGGGAGCGAACAGG
rnacentral:rRNA from 1 species